AAUCCAUAGGUUAAUGAGGCGAACCGGGGGAACUGAAACAUCUAAGUACCCCGAGGAAAAGAAAUCAACCGAGAUUCCCCCAGUAGCGGCGAGCGAACGGGGAGGAGCCCAGAGCCUGAAUCAGCAUGUGUGUUAGUGGAAGCGUCUGGAAAGGCGCGCGAUACAGGGUGACAGCCCCGUACACAAAAGCGCAUGUGCUGUGAGCUCGAUGAGUAGGGCGGGACACGUGGUAUCCUGUCUGAAUAUGGGGGGACCAUCCUCCAAGGCUAAAUACUCCUGACUGACCGAUAGUGAACCAGUACCGUGAGGGAAAGGCGAAAAGAACCCCGGCGAGGGGAGUGAAAAAGAACCUGAAACCGUGUACGUACAAGCAGUGGGAGCCCCACCACCAAAGCAUUCUCUGGUGUUGAAGGCCCUGCAAAGCAGC
rnacentral:rRNA from 1 species